GACGAACGCUGGCGGCGUGCUUAACACAUGCAAGUCGAACGGAGUGGCGAACGGGUGAGUAACACGUGGGUGACCUGCCUUGCACUUCGGGAUAAGCUUGGGAAACUGGGUCUAAUAACGGCUAGUGCUAGAUGAGCUCGCGGCCUAUCAGCUUGUUGGGGGGGUAAUGGCCUACCAAGGCGUCGGCGGGUAGCCGGCCUGAGAGGGUGUACGGGCACAUUGGGACUGAGCUACGGACCAGACGCCAACGGGAGGCAGCAGUGGAGAAUAUUGCACAAUGGGCGGAAGCCUGAUGAAGCGGCGCCGCGUGGGGGAUGAAGGCCUUCGGGUUGUAAACUCCUUUCGACAGGGACGCGGUACCUGUAUAAGAAGCACCGGCUAACUACGUGCCAGCAGCCGCGGUAAUAC
rnacentral:rRNA from 1 species